rnacentral:misc_RNA from 1 species
CUGCACCCGCGAAUCCAUCCCAUACCUCCCAUCCCUGCCCCCCGCGGGUCCCGCGCCGCCAUCGUCUACCUCCGAGGAUCCCGCGCGCGCCUAGCCGCCAUGCCGCUCCCGAUCCCUUGCACCCGCCAUCCCCUACCUCCCGCCCCUGCACCCCGCGGGUCCCGCGCGUGCCCAGCCGUGAAUCAGCCGCCGCGCCUCCCGCAGAACCCGCCUCCACCCGCGAAUCCAGCGCCGCGCCUGAGGAACAACCGCAGAGAAACCCCCGUGCGUCGUGCCCUCGCGAACCCCACCCCAGCCGCAAACGCCACAGACACCUGUACGCACGCGCGCGAUUCGCCCCAAUCUACAACAAGAAGGGCGGCGGGCUGGAGAAGGCGCCGGCGGCGACCACAAGCCUGUGUUCGCCACGGUGGCGGUGAGCUCCCCGCCGGAGCAGAAGCCGUUCGUGGCGGCGGGCGGGCUACCCCCGGCGUUCCCGGAGCUGGCGGCGUACUACGACCGGCCGUCGGACUCGAUGCCGCGGCUGCACGCGGACUACUCCAGCUGCUCGGAGCAGGUGCUGUCCCCGAAGCAGCUGGCGUGCGACCGGGAGGUGCAGAGCCAGCCCAAGAUCAGCAAAUGGGAGCGGACCUUCGCCUCCGAUCCCGUGAACCCCGCGGGCUCCAUGCUCGACCCCGUCAGCGUACUCCCCAGUACAUGAGGAUGUCCUGCAGCAGCGGGUCGCCCUCCACGCCCCGCAGCCUAUGCCCGUGCACCCCCGCCCUACCCGUCGCACCCCCCAUACCCGUGUCCCCCAGCUCCGCCUCGCGCCGAACUUCGCCGGCUCCCGUCCCCUCGCCUGCCACGAGAGGCCCCAAAAUAGAUCUCUUCUUCCGACAAUGGGAAGAGCGAGGGCGACGUGGUGGUCUCGACUUCCUGUGCAGGGAGGGAUCUCUGGGAGUGGGCAUCCCUGGUGUCGCCCUUCUUCGCCCGUUGUUGACAACGGACACGCUGGAGCGACAGAGCUGCGGUAUCAGGACGUGGAGGUGGACACGAGGCGGUGCGAGCGCCGGCAUUGCGAGCCUGCGAGGCACUGGUGCCACGUGCGCGCUGCGGGAGAAGGAGGCGGAGCUAGAGGCGGCCCGAGCCCGACUGCAUGUUGUGGAGCUAGAGGAGUGGCUGUAG